CGGACGGGUGAGUAAUGCUUGGGAAUAUGCCUUAGGGUGGGGGACAACAGUUGGAAACGACUGCUAAUACCGCAUAACGUCUACGGACCAAAGGGGGCUUCGGCUCUCGCCCUUAGAUUAGCCCAAGUGGGAUUAGCUAGUUGGUGAGGUAAUGGCUCACCAAGGCGACGAUCCCUAGCUGGUUUGAGAGGAUGAUCAGCCACACUGGAACUGAGACACGGUCCAGACUCCUACGGGAGGCAGCAGUGGGGAAUAUUGCACAAUGGGCGCAAGCCUGAUGCAGCCAUGCCGCGUGUGUGAAGAAGGCCUUAGGGUUGUAAAGCACUUUCAGUAAGGAGGAAAGGUUAGUAGUUAAUACCUGCUAGCUGUGACGUUACUUACAGAAGAAGCACCGGCUAACUCCGUGCCAGCAGCCGCGGUAAUACGGAGGGUGCGAGCGUUAAUCGGAAUUACUGGGCGUAAAGCGUACGCAGGCGGUUUGUUAAGCGAGAUGUGAAAGCCCCGGGCUCAACCUGGGAACUGCAUUUCGAACUGGCAAACUAGAGUAUGAUAGAGGGUGGUAGAAUUUCAGGUGUAGCGGUGAAAUGCGUAGAGAUCUGAAGGAAUACCGAUGGCGAAGGCAGCCACCUGGGUCAAUACUGACGCUCAUGUACGAAAGCGUGGGGAGCAAACGGGAUUAGAUACCCCGGUAGUCCACGCCGUAAACGAUGUCUACUAGGAGCUGGGGUCUUCGGACAACUUUUCCAAAGCUAACGCAUUAAGUAGACCGCCUGGGGAGUACGGCCGCAAGGUUAAAACUCAAAUGAAUUGACGGGGGCCCGCACAAGCGGUGGAGCAUGUGGUUUAAUUCGAUGCAACGC
rnacentral:rRNA from 1 species